GAUGAACGCUGGCGGCGUGCCUAAUACAUGCAAGUCGAGCGAACGGACGAGAAGCUUGCUUUUCUGAUGUUAGCGGCGGACGGGUGAGUAACACGUGGAUAACCUACCUAUAAGACUGGGAUAACUUCGGGAAACCGGAGCUAAUACCGGAUAAUAUUUUGAACCGCAUGGUUCAAAAGUGAAAGACGGUUUUGCUGUCACUUAUAGAUGGAUCCGCGCUGCAUUAGCUAGUUGGUAAGGUAACGGCUUACCAAGGCAACGAUGCAUAGCCGACCUGAGAGGGUGAUCGGCCACACUGGAACUGAGACACGGUCCAGACUCCUACGGGAGGCAGCAGUAGGGAAUCUUCCGCAAUGGGCGAAAGCCUGACGGAGCAACGCCGCGUGAGUGAUGAAGGUCUUCGGAUCGUAAAACUCUGUUAUUAGGGAAGAACAUAUGUGUAAGUAACUGUGCACAUCUUGACGGUACCUAAUCAGAAAGCCACGGCUAACUACGU
rnacentral:rRNA from 1 species